rnacentral:rRNA from 1 species
UACGAAGGGGGCUAGCGUUGCUCGGAAUCACUGGGCGUAAAGCGCACGUAGGCGGCUUUUUAAGUCAGGGGUGAAAUCCUGGAGCUCAACUCCAGAACUGCCUUUGAUACUGGAGAGCUUGAGUCCGGGAGAGGUGAGUGGAAUUCUCGGUGUAGAGGUGAAAUUCGUAGAUAUCGAGAGGAACACCGGUGGCGAAGGCGGCCAACUGGACGAAUACUGACACUCAGGUGCGACAGCGUGGGGAGCAAACAGG